GGGCUGAAGGAUGGAGACGUCUAGGCCC
rnacentral:misc_RNA from 1 species